GAUAGACCAAUGUAGGUAAGGGAAGUCAUGGAAAACGGAUCCGUAACCUUGGGAAAGGGAUUGGCUGUGAGGGCUGAGCCGGUCGGGCUGGUGUCCACAAGCAGGAACGGCACUGCACCAGGACUAGGCGAGGCUCGCCGCCUUAAAAGCGUUGCGGCCGAGCCUGGACCAGCUUCGCGACCACCCUGUGGAAAGCCACAGCUGUGCAUUUUCCGUGGGCUUCGCGCCUGCGGUUCUUGCUUUGGCCGGCAGAAAACAGCCAACUCAGAACUGGCACGGACCGGGGGAAUCCAAAUGUCUAAUUAAAACAAAGCAUUGAGAGGGCUGUUGUUGAUCGGUGUUGACGCAAUGCGAUUUCUACCCAGUGCUCUGAAUGUCGAAGUAAAAUAAUUAGUAAAAGCGAGGGUAAACAACAGGAGUAACCAUGCCCUCCCGCUUCUUUCUUUUUAUUUUUUAUCUCUUCUUUCCUCACCUUUCAAUUUGAAUACUUUGCAGUCAUUGGAUAUAGCUGGAUUUUAUUCUCGUUCUCUGUGGGUUUCUUCACUUUGCAUGUCUGCCAGGAUUUAGCUCUUUUUUGUGUUGUGUUGCUCCAUUUUGGUGGAUUAAGUUCCGGCGGCCACAGCUAAAUUUACUCGUAAAACAUCGGACACAAUAGCUUCUCUCCAAGAUAGUACGGUGCACUCGCCGUCUUGGUGAGGGCAGUAUUCGAGAGCAAAGACCGACAUAAAGUUUGAGCCAUCCCACCAAUACUGGCUUUCCCAACGUCCAUUACCCUGAAGUUCUGCUGUGGCCGCUCACACCACUUGGUCGGUGGUAAUUCAUGUAUUUAGCCAAAUUCCUCGUCAUCUAAUUAGUGGCGCGUAUGAAUGGAUUAACGAGAUUCCCACUAUUGCUCUCUACUAUCUAGCAAAACCACAGCCAAGGGAACGGGCUUGGCAAAAUCAGCGAGGAAAGAAGACCCAGAGACAUAAGAGGUGUAGCAUAAGUGAGAGGUCACGGGAUACCGCCUUGUUUCGGCGGGGUCCUCGCGGCCGCCAUUGAAAUACCACUACUCUCAUCGUUUCUCUACUUACUCGGUGGUGGGGGAAGCGGACAAAUGAGUUUUCCACGCUUCUAGUGCCAAACGAAGGGCGCCCAGUGUCUCCCUUCGGCUUGGUGCUGGUCGGGCCGGUGCGACCUGUUCCGAGGGCAGUGUCAGGCAGGGAGUUUGACUGGGGUGGCACAUGUGUCAAACUGUAAUGCAGGGGUCCUAAGGCGAGCUCACCGAGGACAGAAACCUCGCGUAGAGCAAAAGGGUAAAAUGCUUGCUUGAUCUUGAAUUUCAGUACCUUUAGAGACCGAGAAAGCGAGGCCUCUCGAUCCUUAUGGCUUUGAGCUUUAAGCAAAAUGUGUCAGAAAAUUUACCACAGUGAUAACUGGCUUGCAGCGGCCAAGCAUUUAUUGCGACUACUGUACGCAAAUAACCAUCACAGUGCGAAAUAGAAGCUAAAAUAAUAUUC
rnacentral:rRNA from 1 species